rnacentral:tRNA from 1 species
UGACAAGUGUGUUGGCUCAGUUGGUAGAGCGUCCGUCUCACAACCGGGAGGUCGCGGGUUCAAACCCCGGCCGCGUCAG